rnacentral:rRNA from 1 species
GACUGUACAAAGGUAGCAUAAUCAUUUGAUUUUUAAUUGAAAUCUGGAAUGAAUGGUUGAAUGAAAAAUAUAUUUUCUUUUUUUUAAAAUUUAAAAAUUUAAUUUUUUAGUUAAAAAGCUAAGAUUAAGUUAUAAGACGAGAAGACCCUAUAGAACUUUAUUAUAUUUUUAUAUGUUUAUAUAUAGGAAAUUAUAUUUUAUAUAUAUUAAAUAUAAUUUUGUUGGGGUGACAGAAAAAAUUUAAUAACUUUUUUUAUUUUUUUCAUUAUGUAUGAAUAAAUGAUCCUUUUUUAGGGAUUAAAGAUCAAGUUACCUUAGGGAUAACAGCGUUAUUAUUUUGGAGAGUUCAUAUCUAUAAAAUAGUUUGCGACCUCGAUGUUGGAUUAUAAUAAGAUAUAGGAGUAGAAUAUUAUAUUCUAGGUCUGUUCGACCUUUAAAUUUUUACA